CCUACGGGUGGCAGCAGUGGGGAAUAUUGCACAAUGGGCGAAACCCUGAUGCAGCGACGCCGCGUGAGUGAUGAAGGACUUCGGUACUUAAAGCUCUAUUAGCAGGGAAGAAAAUGACGGUACCUGACUAUGAAGCUCUGGCUAACUACGGGACAGCAGCCGCGGUAUUACGUAGGGGGCACGCGUUAUCCGGAGUUAAUGGGGGAAAAGGGAGCGUUGACGGGGGCGCAAGUCUGAUGUGAAAGCCCAUGGCUUAACCGUGGAACUGCAUUGGAAACUGUGCAACUUGAGUGCAGGAGAGGUAAGCGGAAUUCCUGGUGUAGCGGUGAAAUGCGUAGAUAUUAGGAGGAACACCAGUGGCGAAGGCGACUUACUGGACUGUAACUGACGUUGAGGCUCGAAAGCGUGGGGAGCAAACAGGAUUAGAUACCCGAGUAGUC
rnacentral:rRNA from 1 species